rnacentral:rRNA from 1 species
ACAGAGGUGCCAAGCGUUAGGCGGAAUCACUGGGCUUAAAGCGUGUGUAGGCGGAUCGUUAAGUACCUUGUGAAAUCCCACGGCUCAACCGUGGAACUGCUGGGUAUACUGGCGAUCUUGAGCCACCUAGGGGCGAGCGGAACAAACGGUGGAGCGGUGAAAUGCGUAGAUAUCAUUUGGAACGCCAAUGGUGAAAACAGGUAACUGGGAGUGUGCUGACGCUGAGACACGAAAGCCAGGGGAGCGAACGGGA